GCAAAGGGGAGUAACUUCAUUGCCGGUCGAUCGUCAUUACGAUGUGUGAAAAACCACAUCCGGUCACCGGGCAACCCGAAAGGAAUACGCAGACGUAUUCCUUUUUUGUUGUAAGUGAGACCUUGCCGGAAGGCGAGGUCUAUGCAUAAAAAGCAGCGGCUGACGUCUUCCGACGUUGGCCGUUUUUU
rnacentral:ncRNA from 11 species